rnacentral:lncRNA from 7 species
GGAAAAACGAUAAUGACAAGAGAAGAAAGGUAAAGAGAAAAGAAGAAAAAAGCCAAGUCAAAAAGUAAAGAAUAACUCGAAGGAAGGAGUGGAUGGCAAGAAAUACAGGAAAGCAAUGCAUAGCACAGCAAAGCAAAGCAAGGCAAAAUAGCAGCCAAAGCCACGAGAAUCAAGAAGUCAGUGAAGAGCAGGAAAGGAAUGGAGGAAUCUGGCCAGAGCUGUGCCCCUGCUUGCCACAGGAGCUGCGCGGGAGGAGAAGAAUGUGGGCCAAAAGGUAAGAGGAGCUCCUUUGGGUUCUGGGCUUGAAGCAAAGCUGAGAAGCCAUGCCCGGGAGGAGGUGUGGGUAGCUACAGGCCACCUUGCUAUCUCCCCAAGAGAUGAGGUGUGUGGGCUAGGCACCGGGCAGGAGUGCUGGCCAGAAGCAAGCAUCUCUGUGGAGGAAGGCAAAGGGCGGAGGAGGUUCAAGGGUAGCUACCGGGCAUGGCCUUGCUCAGCAAGGGGAGGAAAAGCCUGAAGGGCACGAGAAGGGGACAGAGAAGGGCAGGCAGUAGGCGUGAAGCUGUGAGCAGAGUAGAGAGCAACUUGGCAGAGCAGCAAGCAGAGUAGGCAAGUGCUGAGGUUUGGCGUGAGUAGCAGCAAAAGCCCAUAGCAUCAAGAAGCAGGAAGUGAGGAGAAGGUAAGUGAAGGGCAGGCAAGGUAAUGGGAGGCAGAGGCAAGGGGAAAGGGGGGAGUAAGGGAGAAAGAGGGGAUGGGGAGGGGAGGGGAUGGUGAAGAGCAGAGCGGAGGGAAGGGCUGAGGGAGGGCUGAAGGCAAACCAAUGAUGAAAAAAAGAAAAGAAAAAAAUAAGCACAAAAAAUAUGAAAUAAGAGAAAAAAGAAAAGAAAAAUAAGAAAAAGAGAAAAAAGGAAAAGAAAAAAAAUGAACAAAAAGACAAAAAAGAGAAAAAAAAAUGAACAAAAAAAUAAGAAAAAGAGAAAAGAAAAAAAUGAACAAAAAAGAGAAAAAGAGAAAAGCUAAAAAAUGGACAAAAAAGAGAAAAAAGAGAAAAGAAAAAAAAUGAACAAAAAAGAGAAAAAAGAGAAAAGAAAAAAAUGAACAAAAAGAGAAAAAGAAAAAGCUAAAAAAAAGAAAAAGAGAAAGAAAAAAGAGAAAAUAGAAAAAAGAGAAGAAAAAUAUGAAAAAAAAAAAAGAAAAAAAAGAAAAAAAGAAAAAAGAAAUAGAAAUAAAAGAUAGAAAAAAGAAAAAAAGAAAGGAAAACGGAUAAUGACAAGAGAAGAAAGGUAAAGAGAAAAGAAAAAAAGCCAAGUCAAAAAGUAAAGAAUAACUCGAAGGAAGGAGUGGAUGGCAAGAAAUACAGGGAAAGCAAUGCAUAGCACAGCAAAGCAAAGCAAGGCAAAAUAGCAGCCAAAGCCAAAAGAAGUCAGUGAAGAGCAGGAAAGGUAAGUUUCCCUUAAAGCAAGGGGGAAUGGUAGUGGAUGGGGGCAAAAGAGA